CCCUGCUCCGCUCACCUGUGCUGGGAGCGCUGAACCUCCUACCACCUUCGGGCAGGAGCCUCCUCAGGAAUUCCAGGGAAAGGAGGAACAGUCAGACCAAGAUCUGGCUGGGGCAUGGCCGCGCUCCCCCAGGCAUACGAAUAUCAAGUACCAACGCAACUGCAGCCUGUCUCCUAAGGACACAACACAGAGGUCUAUAAAUCCAGCCCCGGAACAGUUGAACCUCUCCUCCAGGCCACCUGCGGGCUGCAUUCUUGUUUGAAUCCCUCCUCCAGGAAUGUCCCUGCCUCAGUCAAGUCUGGACCCAGCUCAUCUGUGUGGAGCCGCCAGUCUCCUGCUGAUGCAACUUGUUCUGCUCUUGUUAGAACAGCCAGGAGCAAAGGGUAAAAUCUUCUGGGAAGGAAGCACCUUCCCAGUCGGGUUCCCGCAGUGCUGUCCUGAGCCCUCGCAGGCUGCUUCUCCCGCAGCCUCUUCGCCCCUCUCUGUUAGGAAAGAUGCAGUCUGCAUGCUGAGAUGAGAGGUCUGGGAAUGGAGACACUGACCCGGGGCUGGACUCCUGCAGCUAGGAGUAGGGCAGGUGUGUUUGCUCCUGUCCCCACUGCUGCUCCUGCCCGAGGACAGGUCAUCAGCUCUCACUGCAGUCACUCCAGGAGUCACCAGCCCUCCCUGCCUCCAUCUUGCCUUCCCUCAAUUCUGCGCAAAUCUGAUCUCGAUACUCUCAGGGCCAAAAUCUCAGAGGCUUUCCACUGACCACUGAGACAGCUGGUCAGGAUAGUCAAGACCGUAGGUCUGGUUUUGUUUCUCUUCCUUAUUCAAAAGGAGUUCAUGAGCUAGUGGGGAAGACAGGGCUGUGUACAAAUAUCUCAAUAUUUAGUAUAAUUAUUAUGAUGUGAGAAAGCCAAAAAGAGGUUUAAAACAUCUGCUAUACUUAUUUAAAACAUAUACAUGGAAGACCUACCCUCAAAAUGUUCACAUGCAUAGUACUUAAAACAGGAGAAUGAGCAAGGUGUCAUACUAAGAAAACUCGAAGUAAAACGAAGAAGAGCUUGAAAAGAGGGCUAUUUACAGAUGUAAAUAUUUCAGAAUUAAUUAACCCAGAUCAAUGAAACAACAAAUACACAAGUAUCUGUUACAUGUAAACCAUGUACUUUUUGUACAAACGUAUUCUAUAAUAUUUCAGGCAACGAAUAACCCUCAAAAUACUGAUUGCAUUCAUACAAGAGACCUUUAUGAACAUCCGGUCCAGUCCCCUCCUAAAGAAACCCAAGGACCUGCGAGGUUUGUUUUCUUAUCCAAUCCAUUUCUUCUGAGGGAUCCAGCUGCCACCAUCCCUCCCCAACAACUCGGUCUUCAAUCCUCAGUCAUUCCUAGGAACCAAGCAACACCAAUCUGUGGCUUCUGUGCAGAUCCAGCCACAACUGCACCCUUCCCACCCUUGCCUGUGGAUUGGGCUGCCCUCAAAUUCCGUGAUUCUGUUUUUGAACCCUAACAACUAACUCUGUAUCCGUAAGAGAGUUCUUUGUCCUUCACAGUCACGUUAUCAUCUAUAAAAUAUGAGAAAGAAGACUAGUCCCUUCUUCACAGCGUUUCUAUGCUAUGACAAUUAAAAGUCACGCACAUGAUAUGUUUGGUAGAAAGUCAGCUCGUUGUCUUCUACUAUUAGCGUGCAGGACGAAGUCCAAGCACCUUGAUGUGACUCUGGCUUACAAGACCCUUCACCGUCUGUCCCCUGUCUACCCAGCUUCACUUCCAACCAUUGGUACUACAUGCAUGGGCAGGCUCAUCCCUAAGAUUUGUGGGGCCAGGGACAAAAUUAUAAGUGGAUGUCCACAUACCACAUGUUUAAAUUUUAGAUUCUAAUCAAGGUAUCAAGGUAUCAAGCUAUUAAAUAAAAUAUAUUCUAUCCUC